UUUCAUUGAGAGUUUGAUCCUGGCUCAGGACGAACGUUGGCGGCGUGUCUAAGGCAUGCAAGUCGAGGGAUCGGAUAGGUGCUUGCAUCUAUUACGGACCGGCAAACGGGUGAGUAACACAUUGGUAACCUACCUCUGAGUCAAGCAUAGCCCACCGAAAGGUGGAUUAAUACUUGAUGGUUAUGGGGGGACGAAAGUCAUUCCCAUAUAAAGAUUUAUCGCUCAGAGAGGGGCCUAUGUCUGAUUAGCUUGUUGGUAGGGUAAUGGCCUACCAAGGCUCUGAUCAGUAGCAGGCGU
rnacentral:rRNA from 1 species